rnacentral:rRNA from 1 species
AUUGAACGCUGGCGGCAUGCUUUACACAUGCAAGUCGAACGGUAACAGGCCGCAAGGUGCUGACGAGUGGCGAACGGGGGCGUAAUGCAUCGGAACGUGCCCAGUCGUGGUGGCUAACUACUCGAAAGAGUAGCUAAUACCGCAUACGAGCUAAGGAUGAAAGCGGGGGACCGGAAGGCCUCGCGCGAUUGGAGCGGCCGAUGUCAGAUUAGCUAGUUGGUGGGGUAAAGGCUCACCAAGCCAACGAUCUGUAGCUGGUCUGAGAGGACGACCAGCCACACUGGAACUGAGACACGGCCCAGACUCCUACGGGAGGCAGCAGUGGGGAAUUUUGGACAAAGGGCGCAAGCCUGAUCCAGCAAUGCCGCGUGCAGGAAGAAGGCCUUCGGGUUGUAAACUGCUUUUGUACGGAACGAAACGGCUCUGGUUAAUACCCGGGGCUAAUGACGGUACCGUAAGAAUAAGCACCGGCUAACUACGUG